GUCUUUUAGAUUAUAAUUUAAAGUCUAACCUGCCCAAUGAAAAAUUAAAUGGCCGCAGUAAUUUGACUGUGCAAAGGUAGCAUAAUAAUUAGUUUUUUAAUUGAAAGCUGGUAUGAAAGGUUGAACGAGAAAAUAUCUGUCUCAGUUUAAAUUUAAUUAGAAUUUUAUUUUUUAGUAAAAAAGCUAAAAUAUAUUUUAAAGACGAGAAGACCCUAUAGAGUUUAAUAUUUUAAAUUAUUAGCUUUUUAGAAUUUUUUUAUAUUUUAUAAUAUUUUAUUGGGGUGAUAAAUAAAUUUAAUUAACUUUAUUAUUUUUAAACAUUAAUAUAUGAAUAAUUGAUCCAUAAAAAUGAUUAAAGAUUAAAUUACCUUAGGGAUAACAGCGUUAUUUUUUUUAAGAGUUCUUAUCGAAAAAAAAGAUUGCGACCUCGAUGUUGGAUUAAAAUUUAUUUAUGGUGUAGAAGCUAUAAAAUUAGGUCUGUUCGACCUUUAAAAUUUUACAUGAUCUGAGUUUAAACCGGUGUGAGCCAGGUUGGUUUCUAUCUUAAAAUUAAUAAAAUAUUUUAGUACGAAAGGACCAAAUAUUAAUAAAAUUUAUUUUAUUUUGAAUUA
rnacentral:rRNA from 1 species